rfam:Octopus bimaculoides Scaffold59213_contig_6, whole genome shotgun sequence.
GUGUUGCUAAAAAGGAGAGAUGGUUAGCACUCCCCUCGACAAGGAUGGAAGACAUCAUCUGAUCUUUCUAACACAUAUGGGCAUUGCUUUCUACUGCAGAGCAACCUAUUUCUUU